rnacentral:rRNA from 1 species
AAACCGCCCAGAGGUAAACGGGUGGAUCCGCAAAGUCGGCCCGCGGAAUUCAGCGCGGCGCGCGGACCUGGGCUGUCGCGGUUCGGGAUCCCUGGGACCCAGCCGCGGCGUCGUUCGGGUCUCCGCCGCGUGCACUUUCCGCGGGCAGAGUGCCACAACCGGUUCGGCGGCGGCUAUAAGUCCGGGGGGUUGUCGGUGGGGGCGCUCGCGUCCCUACCAGCCCUUCGGAGGCGAGCCGCCGGCGGACCGAGGGAACGCCGCGCGCUUCGAGGCCACCCUCCCCUCCGGGUGAGUUCGACUGGGAGAGACUGGGCAACCGUGUCUCCCGACCGCUCAGCCGCGAUCGGCGAGGGCCUGGCCGGGCGCGCACGACAAGGUUGGUGGCGAGUCUGUCGGCCUUCCACCCGACCCGUCUUGAA